CAACUUUCAACAACGGAUCUCUUGGUUCUGGCAUCGAUGAAGAACGCAGCGAAAUGCGAUACGUAGUGUGAAUUGCAGAAUUCAGUGAAUCAUCGAAUCUUUGAACGCACAUUGCGCCCUUUGGUAUUCCAAAGGGCAUG
rnacentral:rRNA from 1 species